UUAAAGACUGCAUAUAUCCUUACACUGAGUGCUGUGCCAAAAUCAGUGCUGUUUUGGAGGGAGUUCUGUUCAGAGAGUGCUUCUCACUGUUGGAGAUGUGUUUAGGGUGAAAAAUCCCAAUGAGCAGAGGUGACACAAAUCCCAGUCACAGGGCUGAAACUUCAUGGGGAAGAAAUGGGGGUGUGGAAUGAGAACUUCUGGAACUGUCCUCAGGAAAACUGGAGAAACAUUCAAUAUUCAACUAAUAAUCGGUAGAAUACUACUGUGCUACCAGAGCUUAGUACAGCAUACUUCAUAAACAUGAGUUAAUUAAGCCUUUCCUUACCCCCUGGAAGUAGGUAAUUACUAUUAUCUCCUCUUUGCAGAGCCAGAAACAGGCCCAGAGAAGUAAAAUGACAAACUCAGCAUCUCAUGACAAGUCUGUGACAACUGGAAAUAGAAUUUGGGAUUCUUUACUUCCAUACUGUGCUCUAAUCACUAGUUCUUAACUCUUUUCACACUUCUUGAUAGAAAUUCACUAGACAAUAACUGUCUGUCAUGAGCACAUUAAAAGACAUGGUAUCACCCUUGUCCUUCUACAAAGACUGCAUGAUAAUGCUUAGUUUAAAGAUCAGUGUUGAGAUGGCAUAAAAGGAAUUCCUCUUUCUCAUGAUAAUUAGAUUUGCACCUUCUCUAAAAGAAUACAUUCGUUGUCUUCCAGUUCUGCAGAGCUGUCCUGGUUAUGUCAAAAUGACAGUUGGCUGCAGUUGACUGCUCUUGGUGUCUAACAUGGGACAAAGUUUUGUGUUGCUUUUAAAGGGUAGCUAGGUAGAGGAGAGCAUUCUCUCACUACUGCCAGUCUUUCUUUUCCACAUAUGCUUCUCUAGGUCUGUGUCUAUGGAGGAUAUUCUGGAUUCGUCAUGUUGUAUUCUGUUUAAUGAGGAAGAUUAGGAGCCAAACAGGCACAGACUUACUUUCAGACUUGAAAAUGCUCCUCUUGAAGUAAGAGUUCUACAUCAUCGCUUACUCUUGCUUGUGGUAUAUCGGCUUCCUCUUAAGGCUUGUAAGGGUGUAACUAAGCACACAUGUUCCAUUGAUGUGAUGGUUUUCUCUCAGUCAUGACACCCUUUUUUUCUGGUUGAUGACAGGAGGAUACAUAACUGCCAGAUCUCUGUGUCUGGCAAGAUUCUGUGAAGUCUGUAAAAAUUGGUGUAACAAUUCCUCUGAUUAUUCUUGUAACAAAGCUUUUAAAGGGAA